GAUGAACGCUAGCGGCAGGCCUAAUACAUGCAAGUCGAACGGGAUUAAGAGGCUUGCUUCUUAUGAGAGUGGCGCACGGGUGCGUAACACGUAUGCAACCUACCUUCAAAUGGGGGAUAGCCUUCCGAAAGGGAGAUUAAUACCGCAUAAUAUAAUUGAGUGGCAUCACUUGAUUAUCAAACGCCAGGGUUGAAGAUGGGCAUGCGUCCGAUUAGUUUGUUGGUGAGGUAACGGCUCACCAAGACCACGAUCGGUCGGGGAUCUGAGAGGAUGGCCCCCCACACUGGUACUGAGGCACGGACCAGACUCCUACGGGGGGCAGCAGUAAGGAAUAUUGGUCAAUGGACGGAAGUCUGAACCAGCCAUGCCGCGUGCAGGAAGACGGUCCUCUGGAUUGUAAACUGCUUUUGUUAGGGAAGAAACUUCCGUACGUGUACGGGACUGACGGUACCUAAAGAAUAAGGAUCGGCUAACUCCGUGCCAGCAGCCGCGGUAACAC
rnacentral:rRNA from 1 species